rnacentral:lncRNA from 1 species
UUUGGUGUGAGGACAGGCACCAUGGUACAACUUGAAUUUUUGUUUUUAUAAUUUGGGUCUGUGAUUAGCUAUCCUUUACCACUUUUUUGGAAAUGAUUUUUUAAAAUAAAGAAAACCCAGAAGGGAAAGCAUCAGGAUAAAUAGCUAAUGCACCCUGGGCUUAAUACCUAGGUGAUGGGUGGAUGGGUGCAGGAAACCACCAUGGCACAUGUUUAUCUAUGUAACAAACCUGCACGUCCUGCACAGGUAUCCCAGAACUUAAAAUUAA